UACGGAGGAUGCGAGCGUUAUCCGGAUUUAUUGGGUUUAAAGGGUGCGUAGGCGGGAUGCCAAGUCAGCGGUAAAAAUGCGGUGCUCAACGCCGUCGAGCCGUUGAAACUGGCGUUCUUGAGUGGGCGAGAAGUAUGCGGAAUGCGUGGUGUAGCGGUGAAAUGCAUAGAUAUCACGCUGAACUCCGAUUGCGAAGGCAGCAUACCGGCGCCCUACUGACGCUGAGGCACGAAAGCGUGGGUAUCGAACAGG
rnacentral:rRNA from 1 species